rnacentral:sRNA from 1 species
GUAAGUAAAAUAUUUAUUGAGUCUUCUUUUUUUUCGGUUACAAUAUGUUGUACUUAUCGAUAACAACGGUGAUAAUCAAAAAAACGCAAAAUUAUAAUAGUUUUGUUUUGCUGCACACUGACGUUCGUUAAUGCUACAUGCAAAGUGAAUAAACAGAAAUUUACAAAAUGUAAACAAAUGGGAAGAGAUUUUUAGACUUGCUCGCGGUCUAUAUUUUAGCGUGCAGAGUAAAUAUCUGCAUAACUACUUAAACACUAGUUAACACUUAUAUACUAAAAUAAAUAAAUAUGUUUGAACAGUGUGACAAUUUUAGGUACUACGUGACUUAAGUCUAAAAUGUAUAUAAGAAUAUCACAGAAUCGUUUUUUGCAUUCAUUUAUCCCCUAUGUGUUUCGGGACUCGCCUUGGUAAAAAAAUCAGGUAGAUGGUACUGGCCAGAACUGUUGUCAAGAUUUUCAUUUAGAACUCCUACUGGUGAAAGGUUUUCCACAAAUCUCCUUUGGAGGUUGAGAGCAUACGUGCAGAAUGGCAGAAUGUUUGCGCAGGUGUAAAUGUGCUGAUUUGAGAAGCGCUUGGAGGGAUUCUGGAAGUUUUUUCCAACACAUUUUCUAAGGAUUUUUCGUUCAAACAUUUCAAUUUCAUUUGCCACUGUCGGGGAAAUCGAAAACCACAUUGGGAAACCAUAAUUCAUAAUUGGGCGAAUGGCGACUUUAUAUAGGAGCAACUUAGUACUCUGUGGCAGAUAAGUAUUGCACAUGAUGUAUGAUAAACGACCAGCUGUCAUUUUGGCUUUUUUUAGGGCGGCUCUGGCGUGAUCAUUAAAUUUAAAAAGGUUAUUUAUGUUUAUUCCCAAAUAUUUUAUGGUAUUCCUAAAAGGGAUUUCUGUUCCAUCAAGCGAGAGAUUCAAUAGUUUGGAUUCAGGCACUACUGUUCUAUGGCAUUUUCCUGAAGCGUUUCUAAU